GUACACGCUUCUCAACUUUUGCAAAGUCCAUUUGUUUGCUUUCAUCUACCUUUGCCUCAUCAACCUUCAAAUCAUCUUCAUCUUCAUCUUCAGCACUAACUUCAUCAUCUUCAUUCUGCUUGGUAUUUUUCUCUUCCAAUUUCUUAAGUUGUUGCUCUUUCAAAAAUUUUCUCCUUGCUUCAUCUCUAGCCUCAUACCUCUCAAUGACACGAGCAUAGGUUGCUGGAUCAUAACCAUUCCAACGAUCCCUUUUUCCAUCAUAAUCAAGUUCAAACGUCUCUAUCUUUUCAUCGGGUGCUAUGUGCAUGUUUG
rnacentral:lncRNA from 1 species